ensembl:lncRNA
GCUUGUGAUUGGACGAGCUCCGCGUCAGUCAUCGUCAGGGGGCGUGGCCUUGACAUCUCUCUCGCUGUAACGCGUUUGAGACUCAGUUUGAUUCAGUGACACGAACGGAGUCAUCAUCAUCUUUAUCUUCAUCAUCAUCACUGUAACAGCUUUGCGAACACUUUUCACUCACUGGAAACGUGCAUCAUUCCCAGCGAGGAUCGCACAGCUGAAAGUCUGUGGGAAGUUUGCUGGGCAUUAUAUAUUUGGGAUUUCUUUGGAUCUGCGCGUCUGUGAACUUCAUCCGAGCGCGUCACGAUGUGUCACCAGAGCUGGUUGUGGUUUCUCGGUGCGGUGCUGCUGGGCUUCUGCGCUCGCGCCAUUGGGGAUCAUGAAUGCGAGCAUUGCUCCAGGCUGGAGCUCGAGCUGUGCGGCGGACCGGACUGGACUCUGGGCUUCUGCGGAUCCGGACUCACCUGCGCGGCGCUCAACAGAACCGGACCGGCGCGCGCACCUGAGACAGGUGUCUGCAGAGCGGUACCCGAUGAGACGGAUGCAGACGAGCGCUGUCCGCUGGUGAGCGGCUGUGAACGUGUGGACGGACAGUGUGUGUGUGAAUCCAAACACUCCUGCAUCCGGACCUACAGCUUUCCCGACAGAGACGCCUGCGUGCGUGCUGGGAAAACAGGUUCUCGCCGUCACACACACAGACACAGGUUUGUGGGUCCCGUGAACCCGGCGUGUGUGUUUUCUGGCUGUAAUCUGACGGCCGACGGCUGUGUUUGUUCGUCUCAGAGCUGCGACGAUCACUUCACGUACGCCAACCGCAGUCAGUGCCAGCGAGCCGCAGGUAACACAGCGUUUCCAGCACAUUCACACUGAACAGGACGCUAAUUUCCAUGAGUGUGAAUCUAAUGUUUAAGCACAUAAUGAUAUUCCAGGGAACUGUGUGCUUCUAAUAUUAUAGCAACAGUUUGGACAGGACCAAACUCAUCAUAAGGUCCUUUUUAGACUCAAAGCGUUUAUUAUCAUGUGCACAGAGAAAAACCCUUUUCCCUUUAAAAUGAAUUUUUUUCAUGCAUUCUACAUUGAAUGCCAAGACAAGUGCAAACUAUGCAAAAAAAAUAAAAAACAGACAAAGUAUAGCUAUAUUGCA